GGGGCUGUGACUUGGGGUGCAGUGGAAGAAGGGGGCUUAUCAGCAGGAAACUAUCUUCAGAGUUGCCAGAAAUCUGGAUUAGGAUCUACAGAAAAUGUUGUCUGUCAGCAGGGUUUGGCAAAGAUGAUUACAAGAAGGCGCCGCGGAAAGAGAAGGGGAAGCUGCAGAGUAACCUCCGUGAGGAGCAGCAGAGGUGGAGAAUGUGGUGGGUCUCCUGGACCCCUACUGGGUCAGAACAGUCAGGAGGUGAGGCUUAUUGGUCAUAGCCACCAGCCCGUAUGGAUGUCUUGCUGGAGUGACUGCACUGCCCAGGUUGGGCUGAUCCUAGUAAGUAGGUGUCCUGGGAAGAGGAGAAGCUGGCUUUGCUCAGGGAUAAGAGGACCCAGGAACAGUGCUGUUGGCCAUCUGAAGUGACUUUGGUGCUUCAUGAAUAAACCAAUCAACAUUAAAUAGCUAUAUGGAUGGAUUCAAAACGCACCUAUAGAAAUUAACAAGUUGGGCUGAGAGGCCUGGGAAAAGGGACUGUGGCUUC
rnacentral:lncRNA from 1 species